rnacentral:rRNA from 1 species
UGAAGCCUACGGGGCGCAGCAGUGAGGAAUAUUGGUCAAUGGUCGGGAGACUGAACCAGCCAAGCCGCGUGAGGGAUGAAGGUACAGAGUAUCGUAAACCUCUUUUGUCAGGGAACAAAGGCGGGGACGUGUCCCCGGAUGAGUAUACCUGAAGAAAAAGCAUCGGCUAACUCCGUGCCAGCAGCCGCGGUAAUACGGAGGAUGCGAGCGUUAUCCGGAUUUAUUGGGUUUAAAGGGUGCGCAGGCGGUCUUUUAAGU